rnacentral:rRNA from 1 species
GAUGAACGCUGGCGGCGUGCCUAAUACAUGCAAGUCGAACGCAUAGCGAAAGGUGCUUGCACCUUUCAAGUGAGUGGCGAACGGUUGAGUAACACGUGGACAACCUGCCUCAAGGCUGGGGAUAACAUUUGGAAACAGAUGCUAAUACCGAAUAAAACUUAGUGUCGCAUGACCCAAAGUUAAAAGGCGCUUCGGCGUCACCUAGAGAUGGAUCCGCGGUGCAUUAGUUAGUUGGUGGGGUAAAGGCCUACCAAGACAAUGAUGCAUAGCCGAGUUGAGAGGCUGAUCGGCCACAUUGGGACUGAGACACGGCCCAAACUCCUACGGGAGGCUGCAGUAGGGAAUCUUCCACAAUGGGCGAAAGCCUGAUGGAGCAACGCCGCGUGUGUGAUGAAGGCUUUCGGGUCGUAAAGCACUGUUGUAUGGGAAGAACAGCUAGAAUAGGAAAUGAUUUUAGUUUGACGGUACCAUACCAGAAAGGGACGGCUAAAUACGUG